rnacentral:lncRNA from 1 species
CAUAAUUCUGGGAAAGCUCCCUUUGAUUAUGGUUAAGAUCAUUUGCAUGGUUCGACCAAGAGGGUGGCAACUUAUCUAUAAGGGUGGCUACUAAAAAGCUCUCAUCAAGAUCUACACCACUAGAUCUAAGCUGCUCAAUUAUAUACUCAAAAUCAUGAAGCUGCUCAGACAUAGACUUAUUAUCCACCAAUUUAAACUUAAUUAAAUCUGAGGCUUGGUAUCUCUUCUGGGUAGGAUCAA